CCUUGCACAGUCGUGUCCGUGGCAACCUAAUGGUUUCUCGCUUGGAUGGAUGCCAUUCACAAGCUGUUGACUUCAAGGAGCAAGGGAAAAACCCAAGGGAAUAUAGAUGUGCCCAUAUGAGACAUAUUUACUGCAAAAAUACAUGAGAAGAAUGAAAACUCAGGAAACUGACUCAGCCACUGUACAACCAGACAACAUGGAGAAGUGCAAAAUAGUUCCUUGUUGUUCAGAAUACAACAGCAGUUUUAAAGCCUGCAAAGCAGCUCUUGUAACCAACUAGCUGCCCUGAUAAUGUGCUCAUCUAGUGACCUCCUCUGCCUCAAGAAUUCAAAACCCUUGAGACAGACAAUCCUUGCUGAUCUAAUCACCACUCAACAAAUACCUUUUGUUGGAACAGAGAAGACAGGUUGUUGGACUGUUUCUGAUUUGAGGUUGUGAAGACUGGAUAUGGUGAAAUGACAAACAGCAAGAGAGGUGAAAGUAUUGACAAGAGAGCUGAAUUUGCAUACCCUAAUAUACCAUAUGCCUAGGCUAGAUAAUAAUAUUAGAAGGGUGUUAAUACUUUGCAAGAAGAUGGAGCGUCAAAGAUUCUUAAGUAUCAACAAGAAACAAAGAAGCAUAAAAAUGUAGAGAACUAAUAAAACAGGAAAUUACUGUAAAAGAAUAAGACUGGAAGUUUAAGAUUUCAGAUAUGGACAGUUCAAUUUUCAUAUAUGACCAGAGGAAAUGCUUUUGGAUCUGGAGGGCAUAAAACAUCACUGAACUUGAGAACAUUGGGGUGGGUCAUUGAUACUCAAGUUUCCAGAAUGAUGACAAGACUUAAGGGUAUAGACAAAAUACUAAUUCAAGUAUCAAAAUUCUAAAUUGUAUUGGCGUAGGGAACCAGGACUACAGAAAUAACCACUUUCUCUUUCUCUUCCAUGUUCCUGCCUUGGCCUAUGAGAUGAAACAUUUGACCUCUCAGAAAUAUUGGGAAAGAGGCACCUGUCUUUUCUUCAUUUCUCACUAGUAUUUAUCUGGAAAUAUGAUGAGCCUUAUAUCACAGAGCCUACGUUUGUCUUUUG
ensembl:lncRNA